rnacentral:rRNA from 1 species
UACGUAGGGUGCGAGCGUUAAUCGGAAUUACUGGGCGUAAAGCGUGCGCAGGCGGCUUCGCAAGUCAGGCGUGAAAUCCCCGGGCUUAACCUGGGAAUGGCGUCUGAAACUACGGAGCUGGAGUGUGGCAGAGGGAGGUAGAAUUCCACGUGUAGCGGUGAAAUGCGUAGAUAUGUGGAGGAAUACCGAUGGCGAAGGCAGCCUCCUGGGCCAACACUGACGCUGAUGCACGAAAGCGUGGGGAGCAAACAGG